rnacentral:rRNA from 1 species
GAGUGAGGGCCCUCUGGGUCCAACCUCCCACCCGUGUUUAUUGUACCUUGUUGCUUCGGUGCGCCCGCCUCACGGCCGCCGGGGGGCUUCUGCCCCCGGGUCCGCGCGCACCGGAGACACUAUUGAACUCUGUCUGAAGAUUGCAGUCUGAGCAUAAACUAAAUAAGUUAAAACUUUCAACAACGGAUCUCUUGGUUCCGGCAUCGAUGAAGAACGCAGCGAAAUGCGAUAACUAAUGUGAAUUGCAGAAUUCAGUGAAUCAUCGAGUCUUUGAACGCACAUUGCGCCCCCUGGUAUUCCGGGGGGCAUGCCUGUCCGAGCGUCAUUGCUGCCCUCAAGCACGGCUUGUGUGUUGGGCUCCGUCCCCCCGGGGACGGGUCCGAAAGGCAGCGGCGGCACCGAGUCCGGUCCUCGAGCGUAUGGGGCUUUGUCACCCGCUCUGUAGGCCCGGCCGGCGCCAGCCGACAACCAAUCAUCCUUUUUUCAGGUUGACCUCGGAUCAGGUAGGGAUACCCGCUGAACUUAAGCAUAUCAAUAAGC